rnacentral:rRNA from 1 species
CUGGUGGCGAGCGGCGGACGGGUGAGUAAUGCAUAGAAAUCUGCCCGGUAGUGGGGGAUAACCUGGGGAAACCCAGGCUAAUACCGCAUACGUCCUACGGGAGAAAGCAGGGGAUCUUCGGACCUUGCGCUAUCGGAUGAGUCUAUGUCGGAUUAGCUUGUUGGUGAGGUAAUGGCUCACCAAGGCGACGAUCCGUAGCUGGUCUGAGAGGAUGAUCAGCCACAUCGGGACUGAGACACGGCCCGAACUCCUACGGGAGGCAGCAGUGGGGAAUAUUGGACAAUGGGCGAAAGCCUGAUCCAGCCAUGCCGCGUGUGUGAAGAAGGCCUUCGGGUUGUAAAGCACUUUCAGUGGGGAAGAAAGCCUUGGGGCUAAUACCCUCGAGGAAGGACAUCACCCACAGAAGAAGCACCGGCUAACUCCGUGCCAGCAGCCGCGGUAAUACGGAGGGUGCGAGCGUUAAUCGGAAUUACUGGGCGUAAAGCGCGCGUAGGCGGUCUGAUAAGCCGGUUGUGAAAGCCCCGGGCUCAACCUGGGAACGGCAUCCGGAACUGUCAGGCUAGAGUGCAGGAGAGGAAGGUAGAAUUCCCGGUGUAGCGGUGAAAUGCGUAGAGAUCGGGAGGAAUACCAGUGGCGAAGGCGGCCUUCUGGACUGACACUGACGCUGAGGUGCGAAAGCGUGGGUAGCAAACAGGAUUAGAUACCCUGGUAGUCCACGCCGUAAACGAUGUCGACUAGCCGUUGGGCUCCUUGAGAGCUUUGUGGCGCAGUUAACGCGAUAAGUCGACCGCCUGGGGAGUACGGCCGCAAGGUUAAAACUCAAAUGAAUUGACGGGGGCCCGCACAAGCGGUGGAGCAUGUGGUUUAAUUCGAUGCAACGCGAAGAACCUUACCUACCC